rnacentral:rRNA from 1 species
AUGCAAGUCGAGGGGCAGCAUUUACUUCGGUAAAUGGCGACCGGCGCACGGGUGAGUAACGCGUAUGCAACCUACCUUUAACUGGGGCAUAGCUCGAGGAAACUCGAAUUAAUUCCCCAUAGUACAUUAUAAUAUCUCAUGAUAUAAAUGUUAAAGAUUUAUCGGUUAAAGAUGGGCAUGCGUCUGAUUAGUUUGUUGGUAAGGUAACGGCUUACCAAGACUACGAUCAGUAGGGGGUCUGAGAGGAUGAUCCCCCACACUGGUACUGAGACACGGACCAGACAUCUACGGAUGGCAGCAGUAAGGAAUAUUGGGCAAUGGGCGCAAGCCUGACCCAGCCAUGCCGCGUGCAGGAUGACGACCCUAUGGGUUGUAAACUGCUUUUAUAUAGGAAGAAAAUACUCUUGCGAGAGGAUCUGACGGUACUAUAUGAAUAAGGACCGGCUAACUCCGUGCCAGCAGCCGCGGUAAUACGGAGGGUUCAAGCGUUUUCCGGAUUUAUUGGGUUUAAAGAGUGCGUAGGUGGUUUAUUAAGUCAGUGGUGAAAUCCUGCAGCUCAACUGUAGAACUGCCAUUGAUACUGGUAAACUUGAGUUUGGUUUAGGUAAGCGGAAUUUAUGAUGUAGCGGUGAAAUGCAUAGAUAUCAUAAGGAACACCAAUAGCGAAGGCAGCUUACUGGACCAUAACUGACACUGAGGCACGAAAGCGUGGGUAGCGAACA